GGAGAGCACUGUGGAUUGGUGUUUGCUUCCUGACUGGAAAUCUUUAUGGCAACUUACAGAGAUUUAACCUCAAAACUUAGAUCACAAAACAGCUUCUUGGUAGCUCGGUGAGGCAACGGAGGUGGGUUUGGAGUGCCGUCUGUAGAAUUACUGUCGCGUGGGGACCAGAGCUCAUCUUGGCAAGGAUAUGGGGUUUUCCCAGGCCAUCGUGAACCCUUCCAGCCACAAGGAGCUCACAGACAUUUGUAUGCAUAUUUAAUGAAAACUUAAAGUACAUUUCAGCUUCUGAAGCUGAGCAUGUGCCCAGAACAACAGGCUGAUGUCUGCUAUUUACCCUGGAUGGGCUGGAAUCACUGACCACAUGAAACCCAGAAGAUACCAGUCUGCUGAAGAAGCAUCAACGUGUACUUAAAGAAGGUAGGGGGUGUUCCUAGGAUGUGCUGCCCUAACAGGACGGUCUAACAACAUGCAGGGUCAGCAAAGCCCGUUUAUACACCAGGACUUUUUGUUCCCCUGAAAUGAUUACUUUUUAAAUGAAUCUUGCUCAUUUUGGAGACAAAGUCAUUGAAUAGAUAUUUCUCCAAAGAAGGUAUAUGCAUAUACAAAAAGGAUAUGAAAAGUUGUUCGACUAAUUAUUAGUGUGCUAUUAGAUUUUUGUUACUGUGAGCAAAUACCUGCAACAAACGUUUCAAAGGAGGAAGGAUGUAUUUGGGCUCAUGGCUUCAGAGGUCUCAGUUCAUGGUCAGCUGACUCCAUCAUGGUGGAAAGGCAUGAAAGAGCAGGACUGCUCACCCCAUGACGGCCUCGAAGCAAGGAGAGGGGAAAAGAGCCAGCGAGGAAGGGGCAGGGAUAAGACACUGUUAUGGAUUAAAAACUGGUGAUCAGCUAAGGCCAGCUGGAUUACAUCACCAUGGUGCUGAGCGUAGAUGCUCCAUCUGAGGAAAGUUACCAGUAUAAACAGAGACAUGGAGAAGGAGGGGCACUGAGGUGCGUGGAGGCGUUUGAGGCUCUGUGGGUUCUACUACAAGUUGCUGUUUGAGCCGUUGGUUCUCCUGAAGAAGCUCUGGUUCUCACAUCGAGCAUUGCUUCCUGGCUCUGGAGGGGAAGACGUGUGCUGCUUGGUCUCCAGGAUGAACUCCUCAUGCUGGCUUCCCGACAUGUACCUGACUGUGCUUGUCGGAGGAGGAGCUCGGGGCCUCUGUGUCGCUGAGGAUGGCUGUGGUGCUUUUCAGGACAGCCCUGGUCUUUGUUGUGAGUGUGACUUCUUGGCUCCAGUGUAGAACCCUUAACCUACCAGCACAGCUCCUUCACCCCGCUGGCAUAGACUUUCUGGCUUCCACCGAUGCUCUUUGGUCCUCCCCAGUGCAGAUCUGUAAAGAGACUGGCGUGAGUCCUUCUUGUGGGCUCUGGACCUCCAGUUGGACUCGUGGGAGGCACUGGCAUGAGCUCUGGGUCUUCAUCUGGACUCAUGCAGAACUUUGCUGUGGGAUUCAGGCCCUUGGCUAAAUAUUCUUUAGUGUUGUAGACCGAUUUCCUAUACUUUGUGUUAACUCUGGGUGACCAUCAUAAAACAAGAUUAUAAACUCCAUGUCCUGAUUCUAAUUGUUAUCCUCACAACCCCCGACUACAACAGUCCCCAGGUCAUGUUCCCGUGACCCAGGCCCUUCCUUCAGCUAAACCCCACCUCCUAAACUUCUAUUACUUUCCAAAAAAUGCCCUCAAAUAAUGAUCUUGUUAAUGGAUCGAUCCACUGGUGAAACUGGAAUCCUCGUGAUGCAAUUACCUUCUCAAAGCCCCAACUCAUAAACACAUGAGCCUUUCGGGGGGCAUUUUAGAUUUGAACUAUACCAAUUAGGGAAAUACAAAUGAAACUCACAGCGACCUACCACUUUGUACCCAGAAAGACGGCUAUUAGGAAAAACCAGAAGCCAGCAAGACUCAAGAAGAAGUGGAGAAAAGGAAACUCUUGUGGAUUGCUGGUAGAAAUGUAAAAUAGCCACAGCCAGUAUGGAAAACGGCUUGCCAGUUCCUCAAAACUUUAAACAUAGAACGACCAUAUGAUCCAGCAAUUCCACUUCUGGGUGUGUAUCUAAAAUAACUGACUUGAGCACUCAAACGGAUAUUGCGUACCCAUGUUCACAGCAUAGAAAAGCUGUGAAAGCAACAUGAAUGUGACGUGUAGCUACAGUGGCAUAUUAUUCCCUUGAAGCAGCGAGGAAGUUUUGACACAGGCUACAAUAUGAGUGAACCCUGAAGACACUGUAUAAGUGUGAAAUAAGCCAGUCACAGAAUCACAGUUCCUAUGUGAGUCCACUUAUAUAAGCUACUUGCAGUAGGAGGAAAGAUCGCUGGGUACCAAAGCCGGGGGUAAGAAGAGAAAUACAGGGAGUUAUUGUUCAAUAGGUACAGAGCUCUAGUUGGGGAUGAUAAAGACCUCCUGGGGAGGGGACAAACAUUCAGAGAGGGAUAGCGGUGGUGGCUGCAGCAGUGCAGAUAUGCUAAAUGCCACUGAACUGUACACUUGUGUGACACUGUGCCUCAUGACUAUAGGCAAACUUUUUUGAGGUGCUGGAGAUGGAACCCACAGCCUCCUACACACCAAGGAAGAAGCGAUAACUGUCACUGUGUGGGCUCCCCUGGCAGAACAACUUUGCAAACAGUUACACGACGCCAGUUUGAUAUUGAUGCCAUCUGAUGUGUCAAGUGGAAGAUCACUUAACUCUAAUGAGGGUUUGCUUUUUUCAAUCAGUUCCUGGAAUCAAAAUAAAGCCCUGGGAAGCGCAUGCUACCACAGACGACACAUCUAAACUGAAUGUAAACACAAUCAUAAAUUUAGUUAAAUGUCUGGCAUUAAAGAUAACUCUGCUUUUGUGAUCUCAACACAAGUAUCUAUUUUGGUGAAAUACAAUUUUGCAAUAAAAAUAGUGUUUUCCCUAAACUGAACUACCAGGGAGCAGUGGCCUGGCAUCGGUUGUGAUGCCAUGUACAGCAUUUUCUAAUUCAUUCCGAACAGCUGUGAUAUUCUCCCAAGUGAAACAGAAGCUGCAGUUGUUAAAUGCGACAAAUAUUUUUAUAUACACUCAGAGUAACUGUGAUAAAUCUGAAGCAAUAUUUAAUAAAAAUCUUUGGCACAGUAGCACAUGCUUGCUGUCUCUAUUGCAAACCACUAAUCAGAUUUUAGAGAUGUUUGUGAGUUUGUAGAAUUAUCAACUUGCUUUGGUUCCAGACCCCCUGUGGAUACCGAAACCUACAGAUGCUAGAGACUCUUGUGUGAUACGAUGAAGUGUCUGCAUGUAGCCCACUUCGCAUUACAGGUUACUUGUAAUACCUCAAAUAACAGCAGUGCUAUAUAAAUAGUUGUUGUACUUUAUUGUUACGGGAACCCUGACAAAGGAUAACUGCAUUUUCAACACACAUAUAACUCCCGCUACUCAAAU